rnacentral:rRNA from 1 species
GGUUAAGCGACUAAGCGUACACGGUGGAUGCCCUGGCAGUCAGAGGCGAUGAAGGACGUGCUAAUCUGCGAAAAGCGUCGGUAAGGUGAUAUGAACCGUUAUAACCGGCGAUGUCCGAAUGGGGAAACCCAGUGCAAUUCGUUGCACUAUCGUUAACUGAAUACAUAGGUUAACGAGGCGAACCGGGGGAACUGAAACAUCUAAGUACCCCGAGGAAAAGAAAUCAACCGAGAUUCCCCCAGUAGCGGCGAGCGAACGGGGAGCAGCCCAGAGUCUGAAUCAGCUUGUGUGUUAGUGGAACGGUCUGGAAAGUCCGACGGUACAGGGUGAUAGUCCCGUACACCAAAAUGCACAGGCUGUGAACUCGAAGAGUAGGGCGGGACACGUGGUAUCCUGUCUGAAUAUGGGGGGACCAUCCUCCAAGGCUAAAUACUCCUGACUGACCGAUAGUGAACCAGUACCGUGAGGGAAAGGCGAAAAGAACCCCGGCGAGGGGAGUGAAAAAGAACCUGAAACCGUGUACGUACAAGCAGUGGGAGCACCUUCGGGUGUGACUGCGUACCUUUUGUAUAAUGGGUCAGCGACUUAUAUUCUGUAGCAAGGUUAACCGUAUAGGGGAGCCGCAGGGAAACCGAGUCUUAACUGGGCGUUAAGUUGCAGGGUAUAGACCCGAAACCCGGUGAUCUAGCCAUGGGCAGGUUGAAGGUUGGGUAACACUAACUGGAGGACCGAACCGACUAAUGUUGAAAAAUUAGCGGAUGACUUGUGGCUGGGGGUGAAAGGCCAAUCAAACCGGGAGAUAGCUGGUUCUCCCCGAAAGCUAUUUAGGUAGCGCCUCGUGAACUCAUCUUCGGGGGUAGAGCACUGUUUCGGCUAGGGGUCAUCCCGACUUACCAACCCGAUGCAAACUACGAAUACCGAAGAAUGUUAUCACGGGAGACACACGGCGGGUGCUAACGUCCGUCGUGAAGAGGGAAACAACCCAGACCGCCAGCUAAGGUCCCAAAGUCAUGGUUAAGUGGGAAACGAUGUGGGAAGGCACAGACAGCCAGGAUGUUGGCUUAGAAGCAGCCAUCAUUUAAAGAAAGCGUAAUAGCUCACUGGUCGAGUCGGCCUGCGCGGAAGAUGUAACGGGGCUAAACCAUGCACCGAAGCUGCGGCAGCGACACUAUGUGUUGUUGGGUAGGGGAGCGUUCUGUAAGCCUGCGAAGGUGUGCUGUGAGGCAUGCUGGAGGUAUCAGAAGUGCGAAUGCUGACAUAAGUAACGAUAAAGCGGGUGAAAAGCCCGCUCGCCGGAAGACCAAGGGUUCCUGUCCAACGUUAAUCGGGGCAGGGUGAGUCGACCCCUAAGGCGAGGCCGAAAGGCGUAGUCGAUGGGAAACAGGUUAAUAUUCCUGUACUUGGUGUUACUGCGAAGGGGGGACGGAGAAGGCUAUGUUAGCCGGGCGACGGUUGUCCCGGUUUAAGCAUGUAGGCUGAUUGUCCAGGCAAAUCCGGAUAAUCAAGGCUGAGGUGUGAUGACGAGGCACUACGGUGCUGAAGUAACAAAUGCCCUGCUUCCAGGAAAAGCCUCUAAGCAUCAGGUAACAUUAAAUCGUACCCCAAACCGACACAGGUGGUCAGGUAGAGAAUACCAAGGCGCUUGAGAGAACUCGGGUGAAGGAACUAGGCAAAAUGGUGCCGUAACUUCGGGAGAAGGCACGCUGGUGUGUAGGUGAAGUCCCUGCGGAUGGAGCUGAGACCAGUCGAAGAUACCAGCUGGCUGCAACUGUUUAUUAAAAACACAGCACUGUGCAAACACGAAAGUGGACGUAUACGGUGUGACGCCUGCCCGGUGCCGGAAGGUUAAUUGAUGGGGUUAUCCGUAAGGAGAAGCUCUUGAUCGAAGCCCCGGUAAACGGCGGCCGUAACUAUAACGGUCCUAAGGUAGCGAAAUUCCUUGUCGGGUAAGUUCCGACCUGCACGAAUGGCGUAAUGAUGGCCAGGCUGUCUCCACCCGAGACUCAGUGAAAUUGAACUCGCUGUGAAGAUGCAGUGUACCCGCGGCAAGACGGAAAGACCCCGUGAACCUUUACUAUAGCUUGACACUGAACAUUGAGCCUUGAUGUGUAGGAUAGGUGGGAGGCUUUGAAGCGUGGACGCCAGUCUGCGUGGAGCCAACCUUGAAAUACCACCCUUUAAUGUUUGAUGUUCUAACGUUGGCCCCUUACCGGGGUUGCGGACAGUGUCUGGUGGGUAGUUUGACUGGGGCGGUCUCCUCCCAAAGCGUAACGGAGGAGCACGAAGGUUAGCUAAUCCUGGUCGGACAUCAGGAGGUUAGUGCAAUGGCAUAAGCUAGCUUGACUGCGAGCGUGACGGCGCGAGCAGGUGCGAAAGCAGGUCAUAGUGAUCCGGUGGUUCUGAAUGGAAGGGCCAUCGCUCAACGGAUAAAAGGUACUCCGGGGAUAACAGGCUGAUACCGCCCAAGAGUUCAUAUCGACGGCGGUGUUUGGCACCUCGAUGUCGGCUCAUCACAUCCUGGGGCUGAAGUAGGUCCCAAGGGUAUGGCUGUUCGCCAUUUAAAGUGGUACGCGAGCUGGGUUUAGAACGUCGUGAGACAGUUCGGUCCCUAUCUGCCGUGGGCGCUGGAGAAUUGAGGGGGGCUGCUCCUAGUACGAGAGGACCGGAGUGGACGCAUCACUGGUGUUCGGGUUGUCAUGCCAAUGGCACUGCCCGGUAGCUAAAUGCGGAAGAGAUAAGUGCUGAAAGCAUCUAAGCACGAAACUUGCCCCGAGAUGAGUUCUCCCUGAGACUUUAAGUCUCCUGAAGGAACGUUGAAGACGACGACGUUGAUAGGCCGGGUGUGUAAGCGCAGCGAUGCGUUGAGCUAACCGGUACUAAUGAACCGUGAGGCUUAACCUU